AUGCAUGUUGGUACGAUUAUGGAAUCAAAUGAUGCAACUUUCUUUGAGGACAUAUUUCUUAUGAAGGAUAUGUCGAGUUCAUCAAAUCAGGAGAUACCUACUCCAUCUAGUGAGGAAUUCACUGUAAUUCCUGAACCCACCAUUGCGAUGGAACACAUUGAGAAUCCUGUUGAGGGUAACAAUAUAACUCCUGUGAGAAGUAAGAGACAGAGGGCUGCAAAGUCUUUUGGUGAUGAUUUCAUUGUGUACCUCGUGGAUGACACACCCAGGACUAUUUCAGAAGCCUAUGCAUCUCCUGAUGCUGACUACUGGAAGGAAGUUGUACGUAGUGAGAUGGAUUCCAUCUUAGCUAACGGUACCUGGGAGAUCACUGACCGUCCAUAUGGGUGCAAACCUGUAGGAUGUAAGUGGGUGUUCAAGAAGAAGCUUAGACCUGAUGGUACGAUUGAAAAGUACAAGGCAUGGCUUGUGGCCAAGGGUUAUACCCAGAAAGAAGGUGAAGACUUCUUUUAUACUUACUCACCCGUGGCUAGACUAACCAUUCGGGUGCUACUAUCACUGGCUGCCUCACAUGGUCUUCUCGUUCAUCAAAUGGACGUUAAGAUGGCUUUCCUUAAUGGAGAGUUGAAGGAGGAAAUUUACAUGGAUCAGCCAGAUGGUUUUGUAGUACCUGGUCAGGAAGGAAAGGUGUGCAAGUUAUUAAAGUCUUUAUAUGGCCUUAAACAAGCUCCUAAGGAGUGGCAUGAGAAGUUUGAAAGAACAUUAACUACUGCCGGCUUUGUAGUAAACGAUGGUGACAAGUGCGUGUACUAUCGCUAUGGUGGGGGCGAAUGA
rnacentral:rRNA from 1 species